GGCUUUUUGUCUUUUGGAAGCAGCCUCUCAUCUUCAUUCAAACUGCUCUCCAGGGCCACUCUCUCCUUCCGUGGCAGCAAAGGAGAAAUAGCAGGUUCAUGGUCCAGGGGGUCACAUUCUCCCUGGCCUCGAGCAUGUGCAGUCUCCAAGCCCUCAUUCACAUCUUUGCUUUCAGCAGCUCUCCUCGAUGUUCGUGUCUUGGUUGGUAACUCUGGGGCCUGAAGGAAAUUGCUCACUACACUCCUCAUGCCCUUCUUUC
rnacentral:lncRNA from 1 species